GAAUCUGCCUAAAGGACCGGGACAACCACUGGAAACGGUGGCUAAUACCGGAUGUGCUCGCAAGAGUGAAAGGGGAAACUCGCCUUUAGAGGAGCUCGCGUCUGAUUAGCUAGUUGGUAGGGUAAAAGCCUACCAAGGCGACAAUCAGUAGCUGGUCUGAGAGGAUGAUCAGCCACACUGGGACUGAGACACGGCCCAGACUCCUACGGGAGGCAGCAGUGGGGAAUUUUCCGCAAUGGGCGAAAGCCUGACGGAGCAAGACCGUGUGAGGGAGGAAGGCUCUUGGGUCGUAAACCUCUUUUGUCAGGGAAGAACACAAUGACGGUACCUGACGAAUCAGCCUCGGCUAACUCCGUGCCAGCAGCCGCGGUAAUACGGAGGAGGCAAGCGUUAUCCGGAAUUAUUGGGCGUAAAGCGUCCGUAGGUGGCUCGUCAAGUCUGCGGUCAAAGACCGGGGCUCAACCCUGGAAAGGCCGUGGAAACUGGUGAGCUAGAGUGCGGUAGGGGCAGAGGGAAUUCCCAGUGUAGCGGUGAAAUGCGUAGAGAUUGGGAAGAACACCGGUGGCGAAAGCGCUCUGCUGGGCCGCAACUGACACUAAUGGACGAAAGCUAGGGGAGCG
rnacentral:rRNA from 1 species